rnacentral:rRNA from 1 species
UUAAUUCGAUGCAACGCGAGAACUUACCUGGGCUUGACAUCCCUGGAAUCCCCUUGGAACAGGGAGUGCCUUCGGGGAGCCAGGAGACAGGUGCUGCAUGGCUGUCGUCAGCUCGUGUCGUGAGAUGUUGGGUUAAGUCCCGCAACGAGCGCAACCCUUGUCAUUAGUUGCCAUCAUUUAGUUGGGCACUCUAAUGAGACUGCCGGUGACAAACCGGAGGAAGGUGGGGAUGACGUCAAGUCCUCAUGGCCCUUAUGGGUAGGGCUUCACACGUCAUACAAUGGCCGGUACAAAGGGCAGCCAACCCGCGAGGGGGAGCCAAUCCCAUAAAGCCGGUCGUAGUCCGGAUCGCAGUCUGCAACUCGACUGCGUGAAGUCGGAAUCGCUAGUAAUCGUGGAUCAGCAUGUCACGGUGAAUACGUUCCCGGGUCUU